rnacentral:misc_RNA from 1 species
GAUGAAGAACGUAGCGAAAUGCGAUAAGUAAUGUGAAUUGCAGAAUUCAGUGAAUCAUCGAAUCUUUGAACGCACAUUGCGCCCCUUGGUAUUCCGAGGGGCAUGCCUGUUCGAGCGUCAUUUCAACCCUCAAGCUCUGCUUGGUGUUGGGCCCUGCCCGCUGCGGCCGGCCCUAAAGACAGUGGCGGUGCCGCCUGGCCCUGAGCGUAGUACAUCUCUCGCUCCAGUGCCCGGUGGUAGCCUGCCAGAACCCCAACUCUCGUGGUUGACCUCGGAUCAGGUAGGGAUACCCGCUGAACUUAAGCAUAUCAAUAAGCGGAGGA